AGUGAACGCUGGCGGUAGGCCUAACACAUGCAAGUCGAACGGCAGCACAGGAGAGCUUGCUCUCUGGGUGGCGAGUGGCGGACGGGUGAGGAAUACAUCGGAAUCUACUUUGUCGUGGGGGAUAACGCAGGGAAACUUGCGCUAAUACCGCAUACGACCUACGGGUGAAAGCAGGGGAUCUUCGGACCUUGCGCGAUUGAAUGAGCCGAUGUCGGAUUAGCUAGUUGGCGGGGUAAAGGCCCACCAAGGCGACGAUCCGUAGCUGGUCUGAGGGGAUGAUCAGGCACACUGGACCUGAGACACGGUCCAGACUCCUACGGGAGGCAGCAGUGGGGAAUAUUGGACAAUGGGCGCAAGCCUGAUCCAGCCAUACCGCGUGGGUGAAGAAGGCCUUCGGGUUGUAAAGCCCUUUUGUUGGGAAAGAAAAGCAGUCGGUUAAUACCCGGUUGUUCUGACGGUACCCAAAGAAUAAGCACCGGCUAACUUCGUGCCAGCCGCCGCAGUAA
rnacentral:rRNA from 1 species